GCUGAAUGUCUAAGAGUCUAUACAUUCUCCCUGGCUAAGAAAAUAUCUGAUUAUUCCAAGUAGAGUGGAACUGCUUCCUCAGGAAUGGAUGUUAUUAAUCCCAAGCUGCCUUGUAGUCUCUUCAAGAGAAUUGAUUUGAAUUCUUUUGUGGUGAGGGGGAAAUGAAGGCAGUUCCCCUAUGGAUGUGGGUGUGGCCUCUGGUUCUGAGCCAGGUGGAUAAACUAGGGGUAACCUCCUUCAGCUGUGCUUUGAGAAAAAUGGUGUAUGCUCCUGCCUCUGACUGUGGAGCAGGGUCUGAAAUGCCCGUAGUGUGCCCUAUGUCCUAGGAAAAGGUCAGAUUUAAGAGAGGAUCUUCUCAGCAGUGCUUUCCGUUCUGUGGAAGCCCUAGCCCGGGGUGCAUCAGGCCCAGAGCUGCCGAUCAGGUUGGGAUAUUUUGUGAUUCUAUGAAGAAGAUAUUUGGAUGUUUUCAAACCAUACUUUGCUCCAGGAGGUGCUCUGAGAAGGGCUUAAGAGAAAGAGGUAUUUUAGCAGAGGAAGUGGGCACAGAAAGUUUUGUCAUGCCACUCUGUGGAAGUAUGUCAGCCUUGAGCAGAGCCUGCUGUCACUGGAGUCUUGAGCCCUGUACUCAAAUGGGGGCUCAAGGAGCCUGUCCCAAGAAAGGAUUCCUAGUGGGCUAUUUCCUGUUCACAUUGCUGUCUUUCUCAUGAGAAUCCACUCUUAAACACCAUGCCUCCUUGUAGGCUUUGACAGAUGGUGGCAUCCUACUGGACUCUGACUGAGCAAAGCAAGAAAGAGCUAACUCCAUGAGACAGUACUGGUGGUGUGGAGUGUGAGGAGUAACCCACAGCCAACACUCACAUUACAAGAACUGCAGCAAGGGUAAAGACUACUUAUGUAACAGCUUGUGGCACUCCAGAUAAAAAUAACAUAAAAACAAUUCAAGAGCUCUAUUCCAUUUUGGUUAAUGCAUGUUAGGUCAUAUCGAUGGAGUCCUGAUUCUUUGAAGAGGACUCUUGAGAAGUGUUGAUGUUUAUCAAGAAGGUUUGGGAACAGUCAAGAGAUAUUUGAUACUGUGUACAAGUUGCCCUUGGAAUAACUGUUCUGCCACUGGUGCUAUUAUUCGAAAAUCCUAAUCUUAUCCAUUUCAGAUGAAGAACCCUCUGUGAGAGGGUUUGAGGAAGCAAUUCUUGCUAAGCAGAUAUUGUAAGGAUGUUCCUGUUAUGUAGUGGCAUAUUGCACCUAUGUACUGGUACUGUGCAUAUCAUGUGGAGCAAUAGGAUGUAAUGGGAAUCUGAGGUACAUUGAAUCCUGCUGUUAAUAAAUCACACACUGCAGGCUUGGAAACCUCUGCC
rnacentral:lncRNA from 1 species